AUACGGAGGAUGCAAGCGUUAUCCGGAUUUAUUGGGUUUAAAGGGUGCGUAGGCGGAUGAUUAAGCGUGAGGUGAAAUGCCACUGCUCAACAGUGGAACUGCCUCGCGAACUGGUUGUCUUGAAUGCUCCUGCCGUGGGAGGAAUGUGUGGUGUAGCGGUGAAAUGCAUAGAGAUCACACAGAACACCGAUUGCGAAGGCAUCUCACGAAGUGGUGAUUGACGCGGAGGCACGAAAGCGUGGGGAUCAAACAGGAUUAGAUACCCUGGUAGUCCCCGCAGUAAACGAUGAUAACUAACCGCUGGGUCGUAGUGAUUCAGUGGCCAAGCGAAAGCGAUAAGUUAUCCACCUGGGGAGUACGACCGCAAGGUUGAAACUCAAAUGAAUUGACGGGG
rnacentral:rRNA from 1 species